AUUGAACGCUGGCGGCAGGCCUAACACAUGCAAGUCGAGCGGAUGAAGGGAGCUUGCUCCUGGAUUCAGCGGCGGACGGGUGAGUAAUGCCUAGGAAUCUGCCUGGUAGUGGGGGAUAACGUCCGGAAACGGGCGCUAAUACCGCAUACGUCCUGAGGGAGAAAGUGGGGGAUCUUCGGACCUCACGCUAUCAGAUGAGCCUAGGUCGGAUUAGCUAGUUGGUGGGGUAAAGGCCUACCAAGGCGACGAUCCGUAACUGGUCUGAGAGGAUGAUCAGUCACACUGGAACUGAGACACGGUCCAGACUCCUACGGGAGGCGGCAGUGGGGAAUAUUGGACAUUGGGCGAAAGCCUGAUCCAGCCAGGCCGCGUGUGUGAAGAAGGUCUUCGGAUGGUAAAGCACUUUAAGUUGGGAGAAAGGGCAGUAAGUUAAUACCUUGCUGUUUUGACGUUACCAACAGAAUAAGCACCGGCUAACUACGUG
rnacentral:rRNA from 1 species